UACCGUUGUUGUUGUCGCCGCUAUUCUAAGCGGUAAUUCACAAGAAAUAAAAUCUAUAACACUAAGGCUGAGUUUUAAUUGGAAUUGAUGGUUCUGGUAGAACUGUAAAAAAAGAGAACGCUUUUGCUUCGACUACCAGAUGCCCGUUACUCUGUUAAACGUCUUGAGAUGGAGAUAGAGAUAUUGUAGAAGCGGCCCUCGUUAUAUACUCUCUUCGUUUCACCAAUCAUAGUUGUCGGCGACUUUUUCAGCAGAGAUCACCCCGUACCGGGGUUCUAGAAAGCUGUAAGGCUGCGAUAAGCAAGCAGUAAUAAUGAUACUGACUUGGAAAUUAAUGUGAGUUUGGCACUGCAAGAGGGUGGUGUCUCUAGAAUCAUAAGAAUCGGGAAACACGACAGACAUUCAUCGACAUACAUAUGCCCCUUUAAUAUUUGUGCAUAUGUACGUAUGAAUGUAUAAAACAGCAAACAUUUACAAGCCCUAAAAAGAGAGAAACUAUAUCAAUUUUAUAUUUGUAAGUUGAAUGGAAGAUUGCCGGGUGAACUUUGUCAAUGAAAUAGUUUAUUUACUGAAUGAAUGCAUCUCAAUCAAUCACCUUUACGUACACAUACGUCACGUCACAUGCUCAGCACAUCGUAGUUCAUAUGUGCUGGGAUGUUGUAAUACUAUUUGUGUUUUUACAGCGCAUUGAUAUAUAAUCCAUUCUUUUUCAAAUGUCAAACUACAACAGUUAUUCCGUUUUCUCGUCGAAAACUUUCCCUAAAAGCGCAAGUGUUUCUGGGUGUUUCAUCUGAGGUUUCUACUUUAGAAAAAUAUAUGUAUGGUGUUAUAUAUUAUGAAGUAGCGUUUCUCAAAUUACAUGGACUGGGUACAAAUUUGUAUACAAUUCUAGCUUGUUUUCUUCGCUUUCCACUUCGUGACAAACAAGUUUAUGUUAUUCUUAGAUUACAAUCAUUUUCUUACUUGGAAGUACAAUUUAUAAAGACUUCUGUAUGAGUUUACUGGGGUUGUGUUCUUACUAUAUGAAAAAAGCAAAGAAUUUGUGUAGUUGGCUACCAGCUCCCAUAUUUAAAUAGAAAUUUUGACAUUUCCGAAUAUCUUAGAAUGUAAACUUUAGAAGCAAUGAAUUUGUCGAAUAAUCUAAAGGAGCACAACUCAUGGAUCAUGUGGGGUCAUAGCGCUUCGGUCUUAUUUAUUUGUUUGUAAACUUGUUGUUUUUGCUACGUAAGGCAACCUCUCACUAUAAUGCGCAAACUAAUAAUUACAAGUUGAACAAAGCAAACGAAUGUGUUGUAUUAUGAAUAAAUUAAUUUUUUUUCGUGUAUUUAAAAGGAUCCCUUUUUCUGUUUUUUACGCUUCCUUGUUUUAGUACUAGUAUGUGUUACAGAGAUAUUUUUAGUACAACUAUUACAAAUUUUCAAUUAAAUAAACUAAGUGUAAACUUAAACAUUUUAUAAAAGCGCGCCUCAAGCUAACGCUGUUCCUUACAAUUUGCAAUUGACCGCUGGUUUAGCUUCCGCUGCACACUAUCAUUUUGCUUCUCUCGCAGAUUGCUAAACCACAGUUUUCGGCACAGAUCGCCGCCAAGUAAUAUCAUAGAACAUAAAUCAGGAUACAGAUUCGAUACGA
rnacentral:sRNA from 1 species